UAUAAAUAGUAAUCAUAUAAAUUAUAAUUAUUAUAUAAUUGUUUCAUCAUUUAAAUAAUUUUCUGUGAAAAAAGAUCUUCUUUGACGUUUUAUUUGACUGAAUAUUACUGAAUGUAUUGCUGCGCGUGCGCGAUUAGGGUCGAGUACACGCUAGUUAUCUUAGCUUAGCUUCCAGCUAAGACCGUAACAACAACAACCGUAUUAUCUCUUUGCUGGAAACAUGGAGCUUGUUAGUAGUUCAUACUCAUUCAGAACGUUAAAUCAUAACUCUAUCUAGACGAAAAUUUAUUAGAAGUGAAAUAAAAUCUUAUAAAAUUAUAUAUCCGUGUAAACGGUAAUGUUAUGAUUUGGUUUAGUCCUAACAGAGAAGUCUGCUUAGGCUUAUUAAAGUGUCAUUGUGGCUCUUCAGUGUACUGCUCUCAUGAUUGACCGUUAUAUGGCACGAGGACUCCUGCUUUAAUGCUGUUCGGAUGAUCAUUAUGGGGUUCCAGAAAGUUCUCUGCUCUCAGCUACAGCCAUGUUUUCAUACAGACCCGCAGUGAGAAAUUAAGAGGAUUCUACAGCUAGGUACAAUAGACAAUGUUUUCUGAAGAGUAGAGACGUUUAUAAGACAGGUUGUACAUCUGUGAAGGAUACAGAGACCUGAAAAGAAUAAAUGAAUCCACAACAAUGGAGUCAUAUAUGACAAUGAAGUCAUAUAUGAUAUAUGGUGCUCUUGCACUAAGCACAGUCCUGUUGGCUUACUCUGACUCACCAGAGAAUGUGUAGGACAAACCCAAUUCGCUCUGCACCAAAUCACAUUAAUUACAGACAGCUGAACACUCGGGAAACAAAACUGACACAAGCCCCCAGUUAUGUUACGAACCCCACUUUCAAAGUGCUUGUUAGAAAAAGGGGCAAGUAACAUAAAAGGACAUGCGAGUGAAAAAAGACAGUUUAGGUGUUUAUUAAUUCCGCUGCACUCACGUGUCACAGGCAACUACAUGAUACAGCAGAACCAAUUCACGGACACAAACCUUUAACAGACGAACACACAGAACACCCAGGAAAAUAAAAUACAAAUUAAACAAAAAGAAACAGAUCAUCAGUGACGGCUGGACAUCAGGACGCACACGAAGCUCAGCAGGUCGUCAGCAUAUGUUCAGACGGCAAGAGUGUCCCCUCAACUGUACGUCACGCACACAUAGGCCUAAAGACAGUGGCAGCGGCGGCCUGGCAACUGGAGUUCUGAUGGAAACAGCACUAAUUGGCACACCCCUUCGCAUGUCUACUCUCGUCAAGCAGCAGGUGGACAGGGAGGAGCUUAACCUUGGGAAAAGAGAAGAGACCAAAUCAAUACGGAGAGACAACACACACCACACUAAAAUAAUAAUAAUAU